UAUUAAGAUAUUUAAUAUCACGUCAGCAUUAUACAACUCACAUUUUCAAUAAAUGUAUAAAAAAAAACCUUGCUAGCAUAAAACAGUAUAAUCUCAUGUGACAUAAAAAUACAUGAUGAACAUCGGUAUAGAUCCUACGCCAAUCGUUGACACACUCUAUUGAUACACGUGAUAAUACGCGACGGCAUUAAUGAAUAAUUAAUCUCGGAUACGCACACGUGUACAUGUAUAUAUACGUACUGUCUCGAUUACCGUCCAUUCUACUUUCGUUUUGAUGAAAUAACACUUGACGAACUUGUUAAACCUUUACUUUCGAAUGCAAGUUUAUUAAGAGUGAGAGGCAUAGAGUAAGUUGAAGACGGCAACAAUACAUUGCACGUACCUAAAACUCAAGAUUACCGUCGUGCUGUGCUUAACAAAUGCUAGCGUCAUCGAAAUCGAUACACACAGGCAGAGAGAGAGAGAGACUACUUGAAAGAGGGCCUCUCUCCCCCGACACAAUUUUUUUAGAUACAUCUUAUCAACCAACAAUACCUAAGAGAUAGCCUCAAGCGAUCUAACAAGAGAAACGAGUAAAUGAAAUUAUUUCAAAGGAGGAUACAGCGAUAGGAGCGCAAUAUGCAAGAAACAUUCAAAGUAGCAGCGCCGAAGGAGCGUUCUCUCGCGCUCCUCCGAAAAUCCUUAAACGAUAAAGGGAUAUAUUGCACGCGGCUAAUUCAUUCGAGUAACACUUAUCACCAGGUAUCUUCAAUGAGACACGCUCCGCCCUCGUGAUGGCGUCAUGAUCUAUUUGAUAAGGAUGAACGAUACAACUGUCGGGGGAAGUUUUCAUCAUCAAAAAUAACGCGGCGAGUGUUAUUACGCACACAACGAUAUGCAGCAGGUUUUAUUUUAUUUUUUUCACGGCUCCUAAAUGUAUUUUCGCGUACGAUUUUUACGUAACAAGAGGGAGAGAGAAAUAUAUAUGUAUAUAGAAAGAGAGGGAAACCUCGCGCGUUUUAUAUAUUAAUAUCUUAAUAAAUAAUUAAUAUAUUCCGCCCGCUCUCCCGUGGUGCGAUCGAUCGAUCGAUCCGACGAUUCGGUGACGGACGAUCCUAUUUUUAACUAUAUAAUAUAUAAUACGCACCACUUUCUCGUUCGAUAACAUUGCAUAAUAAUUUAUGAUUAAACAACUUGCACAGUUCACAUUAUUAACUCUAUCUGUAGUAGUAAGUAGGUUGUAGCCUUGUUUUUUUUCCUCCCUUCUUAAACUGACGCGUC
rnacentral:lncRNA from 1 species